GCUCAACCGGGGAGGGUCAUUGGAAACUGGGGAACUUGAGUGCAGAAGAGGAGAGUGGAAUUCCACGUGUAGCGGUGAAAUGCGUAGAGAUGUGGAGGAACACCAGUGGCGAAGGCGACUCUCUGGUCUGUAACUGACGCUGAGGCGCGAAAGCGUGGGGAGCGAACAGGAUUAGAUACCCUGGUAGUCCACGCCGUAAACGAUGAGUGCUAAGUGUUAGAGGGUUUCCGCCCUUUAGUGCUGCAGCAAACGCAUUAAGCACUCCGCCUGGGGAGUACGGUCGCAAGACUGAAACUCAAGGAAUUGACGGGGGCCCGCACAAGCGGUGGAGCAUGUGGUUUAAUUCGAAGCAACGCGAAGAACCUUACCAGGUCUUGACAUCCUCUGACAACCCUAGAGAUAGGGCUUCCCCUUCGGGGGGCAGAGUGACAGGUGGUGCAUGGUUGUCGUCAGCUCGUGUCGUGAGAUGUUGGGUUAAGUCCCGCAACGAGCGCAACCCUUGAUCUUAGUUGCCAGCAUUCAGUUGGGCACUCUAAGGUGACUGCCGGUGACAAACCGGAGGAAGGUGGGGAUGACGUCAAAUCAUCAUGCCCCUUAUGACCUGGGCUACACACGUGCUACAAUGGGCAGAACGAAG
rnacentral:rRNA from 1 species